rnacentral:rRNA from 1 species
GACAGAGGGUGCAAACGUUGCUCGGAAUCACUGGGCGUAAAGGGCGUGUAGGCGGAUAGAUAAGUCGGGCGUGAAAGCCCCAGGCUCAACCUGGGAACUGCACUCGAAACUGUUUAUCUUGAGUGCCGGAGAGGAAAGCGGAAUACCUGGUGUAGAGGUGAAAUUCGUAGAUAUCAGGUGGAACACCGAUGGCGAAGGCAGCUCGCUGGGACGGUACUGACGCUGAGGCGCGAAAGCGUGGGGAGCGAACAGG